GAAUGCUGACAUAAGUAACGAUAAAGCGGGUGAAAAGCCCGCUCGCCGGAAGACCAAGGGUUCCUGUCCAACGUUAAUCGGGGCAGGGUGAGUCGACCCCUAAGGCGAGGCCGAAAGGCGUAGUCGAUGGGAAACGGGUUAAUAUUCCCGUACUUGGUGUUACUGCGAAGGGGGGACGGAGAAGGCUAUGUUGGCCGGGCGACGGUUGUCCCGGUUUAAGCGUGUAGGUGUGUGUUCCAGGUAAAUCCGGUUCACUUUAACACUGAGGCGUGACGACGAGGCACUACGGUGCUGAAGCAACAAAUGCCCUGCUUCCAGGAAAAGCCUCUAAGCAUCAGGUAACAUCAAAUCGUACCCCAAACCGACACAGGUGGUCAGGUAGAGAAUACCAAGGCGCUUGAGAGAACUCGGGUGAAGGAACUAGGCAAAAUGGUGCCGUAACUUCGGGAGAAGGCACGCUGACACGUAGGUGAAGUGAUUUACUCACGGAGCUGAAGUCAGUCGAAGAUACCAGCUGGCUGCAACUGUUUAUUAAAAACACAGCACUGUGCAAACACGAAAGUGGACGUAUACGGUGUGACGCCUGCCCGGUGCCGGAAGGUUAAUUGAUGGGGUCAGCGCAAGCGAAGCUCCUGAUCGAAGCCCCGGUAAACGGCGGCCGUAACUAUAACGGUCCUAAGGUAGCGAAAUUCCUUGUCGGGUAAGUUCCGACCUGCACGAAUGGCGUAAUGAUGGCCAGGCUGUCUCCACCCGAGACUCAGUGAAAUUGAACUCGCUGUGAAGAUGCAGUGUACCCGCGGCAAGACGGAAAGACCCCGUGAACCUUUACUAUAGCUUGACACUGAACAUUGAGCCUUGAUGUGUAGGAUAGGUGGGAGGCUUUGAAGUGUGGACGCCAGUCUGCAUGGAGCCGACCUUGAAAUACCACCCUUUAAUGUUUGAUGUUCUAACGUGGACCCGUAAUCCGGGUUGCGGACAGUGUCUGGUGGGUAGUUUGACUGGGGCGGUCUCCUCCUAAAGAGUAACGGAGGAGCACGAAGGUUGGCUAAUCCUGGUCGGACAUCAGGAGGUUAGUGCAAUGGCAUAAGCCAGCUUGACUGCGAGCGUGACGGCGCGAGCAGGUGCGAAAGCAGGUCAUAGUGAUCCGGUGGUUCUGAAUGGAAGGGCCAUCGCUCAACGGAUAAAAGGUACUCCGGGGAUAACAGGCUGAUACCGCCCAAGAGUUCAUAUCGACGGCGGUGUUUGGCACCUCGAUGUCGGCUCAUCACAUCCUGGGGCUGAAGUAGGUCCCAAGGGUAUGGCUGUUCGCCAUUUAAAGUGGUACGCGAGCUGGGUUUAGAACGUCGUGAGACAGUUCGGUCCCUAUCUGCCGUGGGCGCUGGAGAACUGAGGGGGGCUGCUCCUAGUACGAGAGGACCGGAGUGGACGCAUCACUGGUGUUCGGGUUGUCAUGCCAAUGGCACUGCCCGGUAGCUAAAUGCGGAAGAGAUAAGUGCUGAAAGCAUCUAAGCACGAAACUUGCCCCGA
rnacentral:rRNA from 4 species